rnacentral:lncRNA from 1 species
AAAACCCAUUGGAGUUCAACCCUGACAGGUUUUUGAACAGCCAAUGGGAUUUCAGUGGGAGUGAUUUCAGAUAUUUUCCAUUCGGGUCUGGCCGAAGAAUCUGUGCUGGAAUAGCUAUGGCUGAGAGGAUGGUGUUGUAUUCGGUUGCCUCACUGUUGCAUUCUUUUGAUUGGCAAGUGCCGGAGGGUAAGAAGUUAGAUCUUUCUGAAAAGUUUGGGAUUGUUUUGAAGUUACAGAAUCCACUUGUCGCAAUUCCGACACCAAGGUUAUCAGAUCCAGCUCUUUACCAGCAAUAGUUUUUAGAUUUAUUUACAUCCCUUCUAUUCCCGCUCAUUUGUAUUAAUACAACAUAAGCCUCCAUCAACCAUCAACUUAUUAAACAAACCGAAAACAUACAAGGCAUGUUCAUU